AUAGUUCUAGAGAUUGGAUUUCACUCAAAACUCACCAAAUGAAUCCUCCCACUAUAUUAUGAUGUUCCCCAAGUUUUGGACACAAUCUGAUAUCGAUUGGUCCAUGAAAUCAGACAAUUCAGGUUCGUACGAAGUUCAUUCUGAAAUGGAGUGAUUGGUCUACUGCAUAGUUCUAGAGAUUGGAUUUCACUCAAAAGCCACUAAAUGAC
rnacentral:lncRNA from 1 species